AUUGACUAAGUGCAUUAUACACUGCACACACACACACACACACUAGUUUGUUUUACUAUCCUUGUGAGGACCAAACAAUUGAUUCCCAUUCAAUAUCCUAUUUUCCCUAACCUUAAACCUAACCCUUUUACACUCGUGGGAAUUGGCCUAUGUGGAUAGGGCUAAAUUGAUACGUUUCUUACGGAAAGAAUAUGGAAAACGUGCGUAUAACCAUGGUAGAAAUGAAACGCGAACAGGGGAUUAUGGGAAAAUGAUUAGACUAAAGCUGUGCCGUUUAGGAACCAGAGCAAGCCCACUUGUAGUUGUUUGGAUUGGAACGCAGCCCUGCAUCCCCGCCAUCCAUCCCCGGGCGUCAUUUGAAAGCAUUGUUCUAUUGCCAACAUGAUUAGCUUUCACAAGGCAAUUUAGAGAAGCAGAUCGUCAUUUUGGUGGCGUAGAAUGGAGUCACCAGUGCCUUCGGAUGCAAGGUCCGCGGCAACUCUUCUUCACAAUGAAACAAAGGCUCGUUCUGUUCAGAACGACACCCAUGCCAUAUUUGUACUGUACAUCAAACAUAGUGAACGUUGAGACUGUCAUACUUCAUGGGUUUUAUGACAUGGACUCACAGGCUCCCUUGUAUGACAUUAAAGCGGUGUUUAUUCGAA